rnacentral:lncRNA from 1 species
UCUUCAUUUUAAAGUCUAUUUUGUCUGUUAUGAGGAGUCCUACUCCAGAUUUCUUUUGAUUCCCGUUUGCGUGGAAUAUUUUCUUCCAUCUUCUCACUUUCGAUUUGUAUGUGUCCCUAGAUGUGAAAUGGGUCUCUUGAAGACAGCAUAUAUAUGGGUCUUGUUUUUGUAUCCAUUCAGCCAGUCUAUGUCUUUUGGUUGGGGCAUUUAUUCCAUUAACAUUAAGGUAAUUAUUGACAUGUAUGUUCUUAUUUCCAUUUUAUUAAUUGCUUUGGAUUUGUUUGUGUUGCUCUUUUUUCUUCCCUUCUUCUCUUGUUCUCUCCUCUUCUGGUUUGAUGACUAUCUUUAGUGCUGUAUUUGAGUUGAUUUUUCUUGUUUGUGUUUUAAUUGUAGAUUUUUGGUUUGCCAUUAUUCUGAAGUUUUGAUAUAAGCAUUUAUAUAUAUAUGAGAUUGUUUUAAGUUGUUGGUCUCUUAAUUGCAAGUGCAUCUCCAGUGUCCUGCAUGUGUACCGUCCUCUUCUCAAAAUUUCUGAUUUUGGUGGCAUAAUUGUGCAUGAAUGAUAUUGUAUCUUUACUGUAUAUAUACCUUUACUGGUGAGCCUUGUCAUUUGUGGUAUUUUUGUUUCUGGUUGCAGCCUUUUCUUUUCUGCCUAGAGAAGUUCCUUUAGUAUUUGUUGUAAGGCUGGUUUAGUGUUGCUGAAUUCUCUUAGCUUUUGCUUAUCUGUGAAGCUUUUGAUUUCUCCUUCACAUCUGAAUGAGAGCCUUGCUGAGUCCAGUAAUCUUGGUUGGAGGUUUUUUCCUUUCAUCACGUAAUGUAUAUCAUGCCACUCCCUUCUGGCCUGCAGAGUUUCUGCUGAAACAUCUGCCGAGAACCUUAUCGGGGUUCCCUUGUAUGUUAUUUGUUUCUUUUCCCUAGCUGCUUUCAGUAUUUUGUCUUUGUCUUUAAUUUUGGUCAGUUUGAUUAAUGUAUGUCUCAGGGUGUUCCUCCUUGGGUUUAUUUUUUAUGGUACUUGUUGCACUUCCUGGAUUGGAGCGAGUGGCCCCUUUCCCAUGUUAGGGACGUUUUCAACUACUGUCUCUUUGAGUGUUUUUUCUGUUCCCUUCUCUCUCUCUCUUCUCCUUCUAGCACCCCUAUAAUAUAGAUGUUGGUGUGUUUAACGUUGUCCCAGAGUUCUCUGAGACUCUCUUCAUUUGUUUUCAAUCUUUUUUCUCUUUUCUGUUCCACAUCUGUGAUUUCCACUAAUCUGUCCUCCACCUCUCUUAUUCGUUCUUCCGCCUCCUAUAUUCUGUGGUUGGCUGCUUCUAAUGAAUUUUUUAUUUCAGUUAUUGUAUUUUGCAUCUCUUCUUGUUUAAGUUUUAUAAAGAUAUAUGUAUGUCUUUGCUGGGUGUUUACUGUAAGUUAUCCAUCUUUGCCUCCAGUUUAUUUCCAAUGUCUUGCAUCAUCUUCAGCAUCAGCAGUCUAAAGUCUUUUUCCUGGAGGCUGGGAAUCUCCUUAUCACUUAGCUGAUUUUCUGGGGUUUUUUCCUUUCUCCCUCAUCUGAGUUAUAGUUCUCUGUCUUUUCAUUUUUUUCUAGGUUUUUGGUGUGGUGUCCUUUUUUCAGAUAAUAGAGUUGUAGCCUCUCUUACUUCUGGUGUCUGCCCCCCUUGUCACUGAAGUUGGUAGGGGGCCUGCUGUAGUCUUCCUGAUGGGAGGGACUGAUGCCUGCCUACUGGUAGGUGGAGCUGAUUCCUAUCCCUCUGGUGGGUGGGGCUCUGUCUCAGUUUGGGAUUUGAGGUGGUGUGUGCCUGGGGGGUCUUUAGACAUCCUGUUUACUGAUGGGCAGGGCUGUGAUCCCACCUGGAUUGUUGUUUGGCCUGGGACUUUUCAGAGCUGAUGGGUGGGGCCAGAUUUUCCCAAAAUGGCCACCUCCAGAAAAAGGCAGGCUGCUGAAUAUUCCUGAGGGCUUUGCUUCCAAUGUCCUUCCCCCACACAAGCCACACUCACCCUUGUUUUCCCAGGAUGUCCUCCAAGAACUGCAGUCAGGUCUGAACCAGACUCCUAUGGAGACUGCUUUGCCCUGGGACCCAGUGCACAUGAAAGUCUGUGUGCGCCUUUUGAGAAUGGGGUCUCCAUUUCCCCUACUCCCGUGGAGCUCCUGCGCACAAGCCCCACUGGCCUGCAGUGUCAGAUGUUCUGGGGGCUCUUUCUCCCAGUGCCAGAUUGCCACACAUGGGAGUUUGAUGUGUGGCUCAGAACUUUCACUCCUGUAGUUGAGUCUCUGUGAACCAGUUAGUUUCCAGUCUGUGGGGUUUCCCACCCAGGAGGUUUGGGGUUGCUUAUAUCAUGUAAUCACCCCUCCUACAUCUUGAUGUGGCCUCCUCUUUGUCUUCUGGAGUAGGAUAUCUUUUUUAAGGUUUCCCUUCCCUUUGGUUGAAGAUUGCUCAGCAUUUAGUUUUAAAUUUUGUUGUUUUUAGGAGAGACGUUGAGCUCCAGUCCUUCUAUUCCUCCAUCUUAAUCCCUGAAUCGAUUUUCAGACUUCUUAAGAGAAAAAAUUUUAUUUUUCCCAAACAAAAUUUUAUGUUUGUUUUGUUUUGUUUUGUUGUCUUCCUUUGUUUUAGGGCCACACUCACAGCAUAUGGAGGUUCCCAGGCUAGGGGUCCAAUCAGAGUUAUAGCCACUGGCCUACGCCACAGCCACAGCAAUGCAGGUUCUGAGCCUUAUCUGCAACCUACACCACAGCUUAUGGCAAUGCCUGAUCCUUAACCCACUGAACGAGGCCAGGGGUCAAACCCACAUCCUCAUGGAUACUAGUCAGGUUCUGUAACCACAGAGCCAUGAAGGGAACUCCCCAAACUAAAUUUUAUGAAGGAUCUUCAAUUUAUAAAACAGUUCAGGAGCUCCCACUGUGGCACGGUGGGAUCAAUGACAUCUUGGGAGCACAGGGAUGCAGGUUCUAUCUCCAGCCCCACACAGUGGGUUAAGGAUCCAGCAUUGUCACAGCUGUGGCUUAGGUUGUAACUAUGGCUCAGAACUGAUCCCUGGCCCGAGAGCUCCAUGUGCCACAGGGUGGCCAAUAAUUGAAAGAAAAAAAAGCAGUACUGAAAGCAUAGAUGGGCCAAUAGGAAUUAGGAGUUGGAGACCUGAGAGCCCAGCCCACUUGGCCUUUCCUCACAGUAUAGGAGCCCUUGAGUUACCACUGGAAAAUAAACAGGUUGAUAGUCACUUCUCUGUAAGCAUAGAUAGAACUUAGAGUUGCUUAGAUAGAUUCACAGUCAUUUCUAGGGUUGAGCACUAGGCUCUUAGCAUUAUUACUCCCAUUAUGUCAAUCCUGUGAGAAAAUCAGGUUUAAUGUAUUUCAGCUUACAGCCCCUUUCCUAAGAUUCGUAACUUGAUAUACAAGAGAACUGUGCCUACAAUCAGUUGUUAAAAUCAUAGUGGUUUAGCUCAGCUACAGAAUGGGUAAAAACCCUUAGAUUUUCCUGAAAGUACAAUAUUUGAAAUAUUUUUUCUCAGUGAUUUAAAGGCUUUUCUACUUUAUUUUGUGAAUUUCAGGUUCUAGAAUGUAUUUGCCUCUUUAAAAACUAUUGCUCCAUAUCUAACAUUGGCUUUUAAAUUGAUUGUCUUUAAAUGAAGGCUUUAUUGAAAAGGCUUGAAGCUGUGAAACCAACAGUUGGUAUGAAACGCUCAGAACAGCUGAUGGACUAUCACCGCAACAUGGGCUACCUCAGCUCUUCCCCCACCUCUAGACGUGUGAGGUCCACUCUUGGCCAAUACAGCCCAUUAAGAGAUGCUUCCAGGACAUCCAGUGCUACCAGCGGUCUCAGUUGUAAGAGUGAGCGAUCAGCUUUUGACACAUCCAGCGGCCAUUUGCUAAGACCUAAGCCCCCUAAUGUCCGUACAGCUUGGUUAUAAAACUCUUUUUACUUUAAACAUUGUUCAUCCAAUUCUUACUGAAGUGCUCUUGCAUAUUACCAUAAUUCUCUGUGUAAAAAUCUAUAAUACUGUUUUCAGCAAUUUAAAGUGUAUAACAAUGACUCGUAAUUUAUUGUAAUUCAAUGCAACAUUGCUUUCAGAAAGACAAUUUAAUAUAAAAUCAGUGUUUCCUGUGAGAAGGUGUUUAUAUAUGGAGACAUGUAUUUCAUAGAGAAAUGGUAGCAUGCAUGUGUAUUUUCUCAACAUAGAAACAGGUUCAGCUGUCAGACAGGCAAAAGAGUUGUGACAGUAUCAUUCCACGUUGGACCUGAGGUGUUAGCUAUAUAGGUCUUGUUUAAUGUGUUUUUUUGUUUUUUUGUUUUCAUUUCUUGUAAGCUUUAUACCAUGGGCAUAGCUCCUGACUUUGUUUCCUGUUUGCUUCAGAACUUGGGUGGUGUGACUUAUAACUUCAUUGUAAGAUAGUUACACUUGCAUAUAAUGAAACAAAUCUUGAAAUUUGUUUUCAUUGGUGGAGCUCAUUUAGAUUUGAUGAGCAAAUUGAGAGAAGCUUGGCGUUGAGCAUCCUUGUGAUUCACCAGAGGUCUCUACUACUCCUCUAGUGCACCGAGUUAGAUCUUAAACCCUUUAUCACCCAUUCCAAACCAUUUCUAACUGUAUUAGAAAGUUCACCUUAGAAGCUCCUCUUUCAUGUUUUUUAUACAUUCGGGGGAAGUACUGUUAAUAAUUCUGAGGAAUUAGGUUUCUUUAGAGCUACAGUCUACUGCAUUGUGAAUAGCUUGUUCAAAGACCAACUCAUCAUAAGCGGAAGCAAGUAUUUGUUGAAUUAGCAAAAUAGCACCACCAGUUUGAAGAGCCAAGAAGCAAAUCUUGAGUUGUUAGAACAGUGUUUGAGUGAUGCUGUAAACAGAUUGUGUUAAAUUUGGUGUUUCUUGUUUUAAGUGAGAAGAAAAAUGAGGAAAGACAUGCAUUGUCUCAUAGCUUUAAAAAAUCCAGCUAGUGUUUUUAAGGGCUGAAAAAGAAAACUAAAAUAUGAACAAUAAAGGGGAAAAAAAUCACCAAUUUGUUGAGGCUGCUUUAAAUGUCAGCUAAUUUUCUUCCUUUGUUUUGGUUUGGUCUUUUGGGUUGAAUCCUGGAAGUAUCAUUUUUGCCAGUCCUACUUUUGAAGUCCUGGUGAUCUUAAUGUAAUUAGUAAUAGCAAAUAGGGUAUAAUAUAGUUGACUUUUAAAAUUAGAAUAUUUUUCUGUCAAUCUCUAGGCUAUUACAUUGUGUAAGGAAGUAUAUCUUGGUCAUGUAGCUUCUGCUGUCCAAGUUAUCACUGUUUUCACUAUUGGCCUUUUCUGUAUACCUUAGAAUGUGUUAGAAAGUUUCUAUAUUAAAUGCCAACUCUUUCCCUUUUUUAGUGUGAAUUUUGGAUCUGUAGCCCAGUAAGAUUUGUUGGUUUUCCAAGUUAACUCAAGCUCUGUUGCCUGUACACUGAACUUAUGUUUCCUAACACCUUUGUUAGUAAGCCAAACUGCAUUUUACUAAAAACUGAUUCAGAAUUUCUUGUUCGUAGUUUGUAUUGACAAACUUUGCUUAGGACAGGGCAUGUGAAGCCUGAAAAGGAUGAGGUUAAAAAAUCCAUGUGAACAUGGCCUGACUGAAAUUUUUCUGCUGCUUUCUUUGAGCUAUAAUGUUUGUUCAUUGUUAUUUGAUAUUCUGUGCUGGUGAACAGAUUUUUACAUUACUUACUGUUCUGCUUUAUAUUAUAAACUUAAUACUAAACCAAGGUUUUGUUUUGUUAUUGCAACUUUUAAUGUUUGCAUAACAACCUAUAACAACCUAUCUUUAAGGAGUGAUAAGAGUAGGUUCAGCAUUUGAAUAUUUGCCUAAUAGUGAACCGGUUUUUAAGAAUUGAUUUUUAAGUUGUUAGGGAAAAAAAAAUUUAUGAAACCUUUUAUGUAAUAGUGUUAGGCUCUGAGUACAUCUUAUAUGGUCUUUGCUGCCAUAUGUCAUGAUACAGUUAUAAUUUUAUUGAUAAAACUGUCAUUUUAUUUUAUUUUUGAUCUUUAAAAAUCUUUUCUUAGUAUUUUGAUUUUAGAUAUUAAUUUAAUACCUUUUAUUUUUACUACUUUGACAGGGGAGGUUCGUCUAAGUAUUACUGAUAACAGGGAUUCAACUUGAAGUAAAAGUCAGGAAGAGCAAUAAUCACAUCUUUUCAAAGUGGAAUAUACAAUUCUGUUGUCAUGAUUAGUUUAUACGAUAACUAUAAAUAGAGGGAUAAGAGUUGAAAAUGUGAUAUUCCCUGAUAUAAGUCAUGGUACUUUGAAGUUGUAUGGUUUAAGGGGUAUUUUUAUGAAGGAGUCAUAAGUAUACUAUUUUUCAUUUUCAAGAACAUAAAAAAGUGAAGGAUCAUCUAGCACUACUUUAUAUUUGGUUCACUUAUACCUAAAAAUAUAUUUUGAAGAUUUACACAUGCAGUUAGAAAUUAUAUUAAUCCAGGGCCUGAAAUUAUUAGGCAAGGUUCUUCUUGAGAGUUAUUUUCAUAUCUGUCAAGUGUUAAACUAAUGUUGCAUCCUUUUUAAUAAGAUUCUAUGAAAGAUUUUGAGCUAUUAAAGUUAUUUCCUAAAGGAUAGCAACUAUGUAGUACUUACCCUCUUUUUUCAAUCUCCAUAAAAAGCUGCGUUCUUAGCUAUUACUCCAAAUAAAAUUUUUCUUGUUUGCUAAUCAGUAUAGUAUAACACAGUUGUUUUCAGCCUGUUAACCCAAAUGUCCAAAAUGGAGAUCUCAGUAGUUUUAAAAAGAGGCCAUUGGGAUGGAUAUGUUUCACCUUCAAAAUCAAAUACUGAACACUAUGAAAAGUGUUAUGACCAGUAUACAGUUGGAGACACAAGUUUGAGUUACACAAUUUUAAUAAUUAAAUUCAUAAAAUGUUUAAUAUCUUAAAUGCCAAAGUCUUAACCUAUAAAUGAUUGUAAACUAUCCUAGAA